rnacentral:rRNA from 1 species
GAAGGGGGCUGAUAGUACGGUAAGAAUAAGCAUCGGCUAACUUCGUGCCAGCAGCCGCGGUAAGACGAAGGAUGCAAGCGUUAUCCGGAUUUAUUGGGUUUAAAGGGUGCGUAGGCGGAUUUGUAAGUCAGUGGUGAAAUCUCCCAGCUUAACUGGGAAACUGCCAUUGAUACUGUGAAUCUUGAGUAUGGUUGCCGUUGGCGGAAUAUGACAUGUAGUGGUGAAAUACAUAGAUAUGUCAUAGAACACCGAUUGCGAAGGCAGCUAACGAAGCCAUAACUGACGCUGAUGCACGAAAGCGUGGGGAUCAAACAGGAUUAGAUACCCUGGUAGUCCACGCUGUAAACGAUGAUUACUCGUUGCUGAGGGGUAACUUUCAGUGACCAAGCGAAAGCGAUAAGUAAUCCACCUGGGGAGUACGCCGGCAACGGUGAAACUCAAAGGAAUUGACGGGGGCCCGCACAAGCGGAGGAGCAUGUGGUUUAAUUCGAUGAUACGCGAGGAACCUUACCAGGGCUUGAAAGUUAGGGAAUAACUCUGAAAGGAGUUAGUCAGCAAUGACCCGAAACUAGGUGCUGCAUGGCUGUCGUCAGCUCGUGCCGUGAGGUGUUGGGUUAAGUCCCGCAACGAGCGCAACCCCUACCAUUAGUUGCUACCAUUCAGUUGAGGACUCUAAUGGAACUGCCCGCGCAAGCGGAGAGGAAGGUGGGGACGACGUCAAGUCAUCACGGCCCUUACGUCCUGGGCUACACACGUGCUACAAUGGUCACUACAGAGGGCAGCUACACAGUAAUGUGAUGCAAAUCUUUCAAAAGUGAUCUCAGUUCGGAUUGAGGUCUGCAACUCGACCUCAUGAAGCUGGAUUCGCUAGUAAUCGCGCAUCAGCAAUGGCGCGGUGAAUACGUUCCCGGGCCUUGUACACACCGCCCGUCAAGCCAUGAAAGCUGGGAGUAUUUAAAGUCGGUUGCCGCAAGGCGCUGCCUAGAGUAAAACCGGUGAUUGGGGCUAAGUCGUAACAAGGUAAAGGGC